AACGAACGCUGGCGGCAUGCCUAACACAUGCAAGUCGAACGAGACCUUCGGGUCUAGUGGCGCACGGGUGCGUAACGCGUGGGAACCUGCCCUUAGGUUCGGAAUAACUCCCCGAAAGGGGUGCUAAUACCGGAUAAUGUCUUCGGACCAAAGAUUUAUCGCCUUUGGAUGGGCCCGCGUUGGAUUAGCUAGUUGGUAGGGUAAAAGCCUACCAAGGCGACGAUCCAUAGCUGGUCUGAGAGGAUGAUCAGCCACACUGGGACUGAGACACGGCCCAGACUCCUACGGGAGGCAGCAGUGGGGAAUAUUGGACAAUGGGCGAAAGCCUGAUCCAGCAAUGCCGGGUGAGUGAUGAAGGCCUUAGGGUUAUAAAGCUCUUUUACCCGGGAUGAUAAUGACAGUACCGGGAGAAUAAGCUCCGGCUAACUCCGUG
rnacentral:rRNA from 1 species